rnacentral:rRNA from 1 species
UACAGAGGGUGCGAGCGUUAAUCGGAAUUACUGGGCGUAAAGCGUGCGUAGACGGCUAUCUAAGUCGGGUGUGAAAGCCCCGGGCUCAACCUGGGAAUUGCAUUCGAGACUGAAUAGCUAGGGUACGGUAGAGGGAAGUGGAAUUUCCGGUGUAGCGGCGAAAUUCGUAGAUAUUCGCAAGAACACCAGUGGCGAAGGCGGCUCACUGGCCCGAUACUGACGCUGAUGGCACGAAAGCGUGGGGAGCAAACAGG